UACGGAGGGUGCAAGCGUUAAUCGGAAUUACUGGGCGUAAAGCGCACGUAGGUGGUUUGUUAAGUCAGCUGUGAAAUCCCCGGGCUCAACCUGGGCACUGCAGUUGAAACUGGCAAGCUAGAGUAGGGUAGAGGGGUGUGGAAUUCCAGGUGUAGCGGUGAAAUGCGUAGAUAUCUGGAGGAACACCGGUGGCGAAGGCGGCAUCCUGGACCGGCACUGACGCUGAAUAGCGAAAGCCAGGGGAGCAAACGGG
rnacentral:rRNA from 1 species